AAGUCAUAACAAGGUUUCCGUAGGUGAACCAUGCGGAAGGUUCCAAUUGAAUAAUCGCUCCUGCUGGCUUCGGUCAGUUGAGUUCAAUGAGUGCCUUCUCUUCGGAGUUGGCCAUCCAUACACACCGUGAACUGUGGCUUCGGCCAUCACAAACUGUUAGUAAUGAAUGUAAUAUCUAACAAAAACAAAA
rnacentral:misc_RNA from 1 species